GUAAUGGAGGACGUGAGAUGUGCGAGUGUGAGGGAGAAGAGAGGCAGAAAAAGGCAAAUGUGGGAUGUUGAAGUGUGGAGGGGGAGGGAUGCUGCAUUUCAGACUGCAGGAGGAGACAGAAGGAUGGAGAGGAGAGAACCAGAUGAAGCGUCUCUUCUCUCCGCCACCCCUCCAGAGUGUGAUGAUGACUUAUGGGAGGACGGAACAUUGAACACAGCCUGAAGAAUGGAGAAGAGUGCAAGAGACCACCUGGAAUCUACCUGAGACUUGAAAACAAGAGCAAGGAAACAGACUUUUUUCUUAAUCCGCAGGCUUCCAUGGGUCUGGGAAGGGUGCGGAGACCGUGAACGUAGGAUGGCGUGUUGCUAGGGAAGAGCUCCGAGAACAGUUGCAAUCUUCUGGAAGGAAAAGGGAGGAGAUAACAGUAUGACUCACAGCAGCUCGAAUGCUGUUUUGUAUGCCGGAGCAGAGCCGGGGGGAGAUAGAGGAGAAACGAGACACACACAGGAAGAUAAAUAGAGCGCACACCAGUACAAGUGAGCAGUUGUCGAAUGAAGAAAGAAGACCGAGGGACGGUGAGUUAGAGACGGUGGGAGGAGGAGGGCGAAGGUGAAAGUUGGAGGAGAGUUGAUAGAGGGAAGGGUUGUUGAAGACUGGGCACUGGAAACAAGACCGCUGCCAAAAAUGUGACAUUUGAAUACGAGAACAUGAGAACAAAGUCGCUCCAGACCAAAAUAGAAACGCGGCAAAGCAGUAAACACAACAUGGGAAGUUGAACUGUGACGACUGCUUUUAAAUAUUCAUGCCGACGAAACACUCUGGGAAAGAACUUGCGUCUCCCUCCGUCGCAAAGGGACUACAGGACGAUUGUUUCUCAGGUGGAGAUCACGUGGAGUUUUGUUCUUCUUCUUUGUUAAUACCUCGAAACAGGACCUAGUACUCGCCUGUCGGAGCUUGGACGGGUGUCAAGAGAAGGCAUUGGCUGUUGGACAAAUAUCUGAAGGUCUGACGAAUCCACAUAUGACAGUCCGUUAAGGUCAGACCAGAUCGACUUUCAAGGUUUCUAUUCACCGAACCUGUUUGGAAUCCACUGUACUCAAGACGGAUUCCUAGAACCUAGAAAAUCCUAUUUCUAGAUAAGGACGGCUGCCGUAGCUGGAGGGAGCCCUGUGCUGGCUGUCCGUAGAAUCAUCCUUCAGGAUCCAGAAUGUGUCGUUUUUGUUUGGCACCGAGGCUUCAGGAUACUCUCCCUCAAGCCCUGACCUGAAUAUCCAAUUCCUCAAAAACAAUAAAACAGGACAGCAACACGGUCUCGCAGCCCCGCAGCUGUAGAAAGACCAGCUUGGCGUUGGCGUGCGUCCGUAAGGACUGUCGAGGAGCUCCAGAAGGAUGUAGACUUGUGUGUGCCUGCCAAGCUUCCCAGACAGCUGAAGUGUGUGUGGGGUGUGUGUGUGUGUGCGAUACAACUGGACCAGAGCAGCGGUGGUGAGCGGAGGCACUGGGAGGGGGACGAAGGUGAGGAAAACCAAGGGACGAGAAGAUCGGGAGAAAAACUGACAUCAUGCUCGGCUAAAGAAAAUAAUGACAAUAGUUUCUAGCUGCCCCCCUGGUGCAAUGUGUGGCGUGGGGCCCCGUGGCGCUGGGGUCCUGUGAUGGUAACCAUGGUCCCCGGCAGCCGCUACGUCUGCAGCACUCACGCCAGGGAGGGCGACUCCACCAACGACCGAGAGGAGCGGAUCUUAGCCGUGUUGGGCAUCAUCGGAACCAUCCUCAACCUUCUCGUGGUCAUAUUUGUCUACAUCUACACCACCGUCACUUAGGAGCCUCCGGACCGUUUCCCCCGACGUCUCGACUGUCACCCGGAGGGCGAGUUGGCGUUGUGUUGGGUUGGCUAGUCGCCACGGCUGCAGCGCUGUGAGGACACUUCUACUCCGUUUUCCCAAAGACCGCCGCCCAACGUCACAUCUUCUUUGCCUUCCAGACGGCCGCCAAUGACCGCUGACAGCGUCUGCCUGCCUUCCUGACAUCGCUUUUCUACCAAGACAGGACUUGACGGGGGGUUUUAUCGACGUUUCAGACUGUCGAUAUCGCUGUUUUUGUUAGAAAGAUCGCGUUUUUUUCGUUGCCUGAUAAAUAUUCACAGACCAGAAGCUAGUAGUGACAAAGAAGAAACUAAAUAUAGUAUUGCUAGCACAAUACAAACCACUAUAGCUG